rnacentral:rRNA from 1 species
AUUGAACGCUGGCGGCAGGCCUAACACAUGCAAGUCGAGCGAGUGGCGGACGGGUGAGUAAUGUCUGGGGAACUGCCCGAUGGAGGGGGAUAACUACUGGAAACGGUAGCUAAUACCGCAUACUAUCGGAUGGGCCCAUAUGGGAUUAGCUAGUAGGUUGGGUAACGGCUCACCUAGGCGACGAUCCCUAGCUGGUCUGAGAGGAUGAUCAGCCAAACUGGGACUGAGACACGGCCCAGACUCCUACGGGAGGCAGCAGUGGGGAAUAUUGCACAAUGGUCGAAAGCCUGAUGGAGCAAUGCCGCGUGAGUGAAGAAGGUUUUCGGAUUGUAAAGCUCUGUCAGUAGAGAAGCGGUAUCGAAACAGAAAGCCACGGCUAACUACGUGCCAGCAGCCGCGGUAAUUC